GAUGAAGAACGUAGCGAAAUGCGAUAAGUAAUGUGAAUUGCAGAAUUCAGUGAAUCAUCGAAUCUUUGAACGCACAUUGGGCCCGCCAGUAUUCUGGCGGGCAGGCCUGUCUGAGCGUCAUUUCAACCCUCAUGCCCCUAGGGCGUGGUGUUGGGGAUCGGCCAAAGCCCGCGAGGGACGGCCGGCCCCUAAAUCUAGUGGCGGACCCGUCGUGGCCUCCUCUGCGAAGUAGUGAUAUUCCGCAUCGGAGAGCGAUGAGCCCCUGCCGUUAAACCCCCAACUUUCCAAGGUUGACCUCAGAUCAGGUAGGAAUACCCGCUGAACUUAAGCAUAUCAAUAAGCGGAGGA
rnacentral:misc_RNA from 1 species